UCAUUACACAAUAAAAUACGAAGGCCGUUCGCGGCUGGACUAUUUAUUACCCUUGUCUUUUGCGCACUUGUUGUUUCCUGGGCGGGUUCGCUCGCCACCAGGACCACAAUAUAAACCUUUUUUAUGCAGUUGCAAUCAGCGUCAGUAUAACAAAUGUAAAUCAUUUACAACUUUCAACAACGGAUCUCUUGGUUCUGGCAUCGAUGAAGAACGCAGCGAAAUGCGAUACGUAGUGUGAAUUGCAGAAUUCAGUGAAUCAUCGAAUCUUUGAACGCACAUUGCGCCCUUUGGUAUUCCAAAGGGCAUGCCUGUUCGAGCGUCAUUUGUACCCUCAAGCUUUGCUUGGUGUUGGGCGUUUUUGUCUUUGGCCCGCCAAAGACUCGCCUUAAAAUGAUUGGCAGCCGGCCUACUGGUUUCGCAGCGCAGCACAUUUUUGCGCUUGCAAUCAGCAAAAGAGGACGGCAAUCCAUCAAGACUCCUUCUCACGUUUGACCUCGGAUCAGGUAGGGAUACCCGCUGAACUUAAGCAUAUCAAUAA
rnacentral:rRNA from 1 species